GUUUGGGAAAGAGAAUAUUGGAAUUCAUAUUUCUUUAAAUCAUUCUUUUAAACUUUUAAUUUUUAUGUAGUUUUAGUACAUCUUAUUUGCUAGUACUGUGUCAUCUUUUUGGCUGUAUUUUUCACUGGCUGCCACCUGGCCAAAUCACCACUUGGGUUAUAACAGCAGCCUCUGACUGGUCUCCUUCCGUCUGACCUUGGCCCCUGCACUCUACUCUCAACGUAGCUCUCAGAGUGAUGGAACUCAGAACUUGUCACUCCUGCUCAAAAACUUCCAGUUUCACCCAGGGGAAGUAUCAAGGUGACAUGAGGGGACAGGAAAUAUUGUCCCUAAAUGUUCUAAGAGUGGAUCUCCCAUGUAUUCAAGCAAUCGAGGGGUGUUUAAUGAGCUCCAUCUACAUAGCAAUGAUACAGCAUAGCUCUGCUGGGGCUCUCUGCUCUCCCCUUCUCCACAAAAGGGAAGGACAGGUAAGAACAGGCACAAUAAAAUAGAAACCAGACAGAAAGAAUUGGGAACAAGGAGACAAGACAAGAAUCAUGCUUUACGUGAUUUAAUCCUAAUAUUUUUAUGAGAGGAUGGCUAUCAUCAUUUCAUUUUAAAGAUGAGGAAAAUGAAGCCGGGUGCGGUGGCUCAUGCCUGUAAUCCCAGCACUUUGGAAGGCCGAGGAAGAUGGCUCACCUGAGGUCAGGAGUUCGAGACCAGCCUGGCCAGAGAGAUGGCCAGAGAUGGCUAGAGAUGGUUGCUGCAAAUGCCAUUAUUUCAUUCCUUUUUAUGGCUGAGUAGUAUUCCAUGAGGGAAGGAAUUAGGAGCGGGAAGGAGAUUGACUGUUAGUUUCUUAGGAUUGGACUAACAAAAGUGGAGGUUGUUACUUACACUGCAAAAGAAACAACCAGAGCUGUGUCACUCAGAAGGCUGAAAAGAAUCAGGCUGACAGCAUAAUGCAGUGAAGAUGGGUGAAGAGAGAUGUGUUUCAUCUGAAAUUUGAAGGGCUUUACAACUCUUCUCCUUUAACUAACUUACCAUCCUUUAACUAACUUACCACCCAAAAUGAAUUCUGUAGCCUUUGUCACCUGUCUUUUCUGCUUCUACAUUUUUGCAGUUACCCAUGUAAAUUCUUAGCUGGCUCUGGGGUCAGACUGUCUGGAUUUAAAUCCUAUUUCUACCACUUAUCUGGGUGUAGACCUUGGAGAAACUGUAUCACUACUCUGUGCCUCAGUUUCCUCAUCUGAGAAAUAGAGAUAAUAAUGGCCUCUAGCUAGUGAGAAUUAAAUGAGAGAAUGCACAUAAGGUGUAUAGUAAGGUGCCUGGUACUAGAUGUGCUCAACAAUAUAAACUAUUAUUCCUCACCUACAUUUGGGAGGCACUCUUAACUGCCCAUCACACUUUCUUCCUUGCUAACAGACCACAGUUUUAUUCAGGCAUUCAGCUGCGGUGUGGCCAGCCUCGGGAUGAAUGAAUGAAGGCUUCUCUGCUAGUGGCAGUCCUAUUCCCAUUUGCCACAAGUUGGUUGGAAGUGAGCGUGUGCCUUUGUUCUGGUCUAUGAGACUUCAUGGAAGUCAACUGGGGUCUUCUGGGAAAGAUAUUCCUCCCUUAUAAGAAACAGGUGCAGGGAGAUAUGUACCCAUUACCUCUCCCUGGCCCCAGCUUUCCUGCUUUGGACAUCCUUGUGUGAUGAUGUGUUGUUACUGCAGCUAUCUUGCAAUCACAAGGAGAUGGCUGCCAACAACCAAGGCUGGCAGAGCGAGAAGAUGGUCAGAGCCUGGACCUACGAUGACAUCACCAAGCCACUGAACUACCUGGUCACUGACCUACUGAGCCUAGGACCACCUACCUCUAGAGAUUUUGUUAAGAGAGAUAAAUCAAAUGUCCAAAUUGCUUAAGCAAAUUUUAGUUGGCUAUUCUGUUAUUUGCAGUUGAAAACACCCUGCCUGAUAAGACUGUCAUUGUCUAAUGCAAUUUUAAAAUUAUGCCACCACAAAGAAUUUCAUGAGUAGAUUAUGAUUUCUGGAAUAAGUCAGCACUCUUCUAUUAGCCUUUCACUUUCCAUGUUAAGAUUUUCAUUACAUGCUUUUAAAUUUUAAUCUUAAUAACUGUCUUAUGUAUUUUAAACCUAGACGCUUCUUUGAAAACUACUUUGAUAAUGAAAGUAAAAUGUAGAUGGACUUUUUUGCUUUAAUUAUCAACAUGAUAAAUAUUCUCAAAAUAAAUGCUGUAAUGAAAGA
rnacentral:lncRNA from 1 species